rnacentral:rRNA from 1 species
UACAGAGGUCUCAAGCGUUGUUCGGAAUUACUGGGCGUAAAGGGUGCGCAGGCCGCGCGGGCAGUCAAAUGUGUAAUUCAGGGGCUCAACCCCUGCACUGCGCUUGAUACUUCCGCGCUCGAGCUUUGGAAAGGAGUCUGGAAUUCUCGGUGUAGCAGUGAAAUGCGUAGAUAUGCGGAGGAACACCGAUGGCGAAGGCAAUCCCCUGGGCCUGCACUGACGCUCAUGCACGAAAGCGUGGGGAGCAAACAGG